rnacentral:rRNA from 1 species
UCGAGCGGUAGCACAGGGAGCUUGCUCCUGGGUGACGAGCGGCGGACGGGUGAGUAAUGUCUGGGAAACUGCCUGAUGGAGGGGGAUAACUACUGGAAACGGUAGCUAAUACCGCAUAACGUCUACGGACCAAAGUGGGGGACCUUCGGGCCUCAUGCCAUCAGAUGUGCCCAGAUGGGAUUAGCUAGUAGGUGGGGUAAUGGCUCACCUAGGCGACGAUCCCUAGCUGGUCUGAGAGGAUGACCAGCCACACUGGAACUGAGACACGGUCCAGACUCCUACGGGAGGCAGCAGUGGGGAAUAUUGCACAAUGGGCGCAAGCCUGAUGCAGCCAUGCCGCGUGUGUGAAGAAGGCCUUCGGGUUGUAAAGCACUUUCAGCGAGGAGGAAGGGUACAGUGUUAAUAGCACUUUGCAUUGACGUUACUCGCAGAAAAAGCACCGGCUAACUCCGUGCCAGCAGCCGCGGUAAUACGGAGGGUGCAAGCGUUAAUCGGAAUUACUGGGCGUAAAGCGCACGCAGGCGGUUUGUUAAGUCAGAUGUGAAAUCCCCGCGCUUAACGUGGGAACUGCAUUUGAAACUGGCAAGCUAGAGUCUUGUAGAGGGGGGUAGAAUUCCAGGUGUAGCGGUGAAAUGCGUAGAGAUCUGGAGGAAUACCGGUGGCGAAGGCGGCCCCCUGGACAAAGACUGACGCUCAGGUGCGAAAGCGUGGGGAGCAAACAGGAUUAGAUACCCUG